rnacentral:rRNA from 1 species
UACGUAGGGUGCAAGCGUUGUCCGGAAUUACUGGGCGUAAAGAGCUCGUAGGCGGUUUGUCGCGUCGUCUGUGAAAUCCCGCAGCUCAACUGCGGGCUUGCAGGCGAUACGGGCAGACUUGAGUACUGCAGGGGAGACUGGAAAUUCCUGGUGUAGCGGUGAAAAUGCGCAGAUAUCAGGAGGGAACACCGGGUGGCGAAGGCGGGUCUCUGGGGCCGAUACUGACGUGAGGAGCGAAAAGCGUGGGGGAGCGAAACAGG